GCAUAUCAAUAAGCGGAGGAAAAGAAACCACCGGGAUUGCCCUAGUAACGGCGAGUGAAGCGGCAAGAGCUCAAAUUUGAAAGCUGGCCCCCUCGGGGUCCGCAUUGUAAUUUGCAGAGGAUGCUUCGGGAGCGGUCCCCAUCUAAGUGCCCUGGAACGGGCCGUCAUAGAGGGUGAGAAUCCCGUAUGGGAUGGGGUGCCCGCGCCCGUGUGAAGCUCCUUCGACGAGUCGAGUUGUUUGGGAAUGCAGCUCUAAUUGGGUGGUAAAUUUCAUCUAAAGCUAAAUAUUGGCCGGAGACCGAUAGCGCACAAGUAGAGUGAUCGAAAGAUGAAAAGCACUUUGAAAAGAGAGUUAAACAGCACGUGAAAUUGUUGAAAGGGAAGCGCUUGCGAUCAGACUCGCCCACGGGGUUCAGCCGGCAUUCGUGCCGGUGUACUUCCCCGCGGGCGGGCCAGCGUCGGUUUGGGCGGUCGGUCAAAGGCCCCUGGAAUGUAACGCCUCUCGGGGCGUCUUAUAGCCAGGGGUGCCAUGCGACCUGCCCGGACCGAGGAACGCGCUUCGGCUCGGACGCUGGCAUAAUGGUCGUAAGCGACCCGUCUUGAAACACGGACCAAGGAGUCUAACAUCUACGCGAGUGUUCGGGUGUCAAACCCGUGCGCGCAGUGAAAGCGAACGGAGGUGGGAACCCUCACGGGUGCACCAUCGACCGAUCCUGAUGUCUUCGGAUGGAUUUGAGUAAGAGCGUAGCUGUUGGGACCCGAAAGAUGGUGAACUAUGCCUGAAUAGGGCGAAGCCAGAGGAAACUCUGGUGGAGGCUCGCAGCGGUUCUGACGUGCAAAUCGAUCGUCAAAUUUGGGUAUAGGGGCGAAAGACUAAUCGAACCAUCUAGUAGCUGGUUCCUGCCGAA
rnacentral:rRNA from 1 species